UACGAAGGGGGCUAGCGUUGCUCGGAAUCACUGGGCGUAAAGGGUGCGUAGGCGGGUCUUUUAAGUCAGGGGUGAAAUCCUGGAGCUCAACUCCAGAACUGCCUUUGAUACUGAAGAUCUUGAGUUCGGGAGAGGUGAGUGGAACUGCGAGUGUAGAGGUGAAAUUCGUAGAUAUUCGCAAGAACACCAGUGGCGAAGGCGGCAUCCUGGACCACGACUGACACUGAAAAGCGAAAGCCAGGGGAGCAAACGGG
rnacentral:rRNA from 1 species